UUCAGAGACCAUCCGAACUCCGGUUUGGAGGCGGGGGAACUGUUUUUUGGGGCGAAUCCUGCUCAAAGCGCUGCGUACUGCCGGCAGCCGCAGGCAGGCAGGGAGGAGAAGCCGCUCCCGAGCCCGUCAACUAACCUCGCAGGAUGUAAAGGGGCUUACA
rnacentral:sRNA from 1 species